CCAUAAGAGGAUAUAUCAGUAACGCCCCUCAAGGUAAUCAUAGAUGGACUCGGAGAGAUGAGAGUAAGAAGGCUGACGACAACAAAGGCAAACAACCCUCCAAUAUCUCAACAGGUAACCUUAGGGCACCCGUUGCUUGACAAAACACUAUCAAGUGUUUUAAGUGUCUAGAGGUUAGACACAUCGCAUACUAAUGUUCCAAUUAAUGCGCUACAAUCAUCAAAGAUGACAGAGAUAUCGUCAGCAAUCACGAGAGUAAUAGUGAG
rnacentral:lncRNA from 1 species